CCUACGGGGGGCUGCAGUGGGGAAUAUUGGACAAUGGGGGCAACCCUGAUCCAGCCAUGCCGCGUGUGUGAAGAAGGCCCUCGGGUUGUAAAGCACUUUCAGUGAGGAAGAACGCCUGGUGGUUAAUACCCAUCAGGAAAGACAUCACUCACAGAAGAAGCACCGUCUAACUCCGUGCCAGCGGCCGCGGUAAUACGGAGGGUGCGAGCGUUAAUCUGAAUUACUGGGCGUAAAGCGCGCGUAGGUGGCUUGAUAAGCCGGUUGUGAAAGCCCCGGGCUCAACCUGGGAACGGCAUCCGGAACUGUCAAGCUAGAGUGCAGGAGAGGAAGGUAGAAUUCCCGGUGUAGCGGUGAAAUGCGUAGAGAUCGGGAGGAAUACCAGUGGCGAAGGCGGCCUUCUGGACUGACACUGACACUGAGGUGCGAAAGCGUGGGUAGCAAACAGGAUUAGAUACCCCAGUAGUC
rnacentral:rRNA from 1 species